CGGGGUGUAGCUCAUAUGGUAGAGCGCUUGGUUCGGGACCAAGAGGCAGAAAGUUCGAUUCUUUUCACUCCGACCA
rnacentral:tRNA from 1 species